GGCCUCCCAAUUCUUACCACAGGCUGUGUUCUUUACACUGACUUAUAGAAAGAGUACAAUAAAUGAGCCCCAUAUACACCUCAAACCAGGCCCUUUGCCUGGUCUGUAAUGUGAAUUGGGGGACAAAA